UGCCUCAGGUGCCCCCUUGGUUUCGACCCAGGGAGUGAAACAGGGAAGCCGGUCCAUUCCUUCGAAGAAUCCGGCGCUGCCCCCGCAACGGUAGGCGAGUAGAACGCCGCAAUCGGCCACUGUGCACUGCACGGGAAGGCGCGGCACGGGAGCUCAGGCUCCACUCGCAAGCCCGGAGACCGGCCUGGUGCAAGCAGGGCAU
rnacentral:ncRNA from 2 species